GAUAAGGGCAGUGACCAGUGCUAGCUUGGGUCUUUUAGCUCAUAGCUUUAGCGGCAGACGGUUGUACGUCACGGUGUUGGAAUGCUCUACAGUGAAAUACAGACACACUUUGAGAAUCAGCAACAAUAAAAAGAGACGUGACAGAAGGAAGAAGACGGAGAAGGAGAAUGGGGGGAAAAUGAUGGGACGACAUUUUAAACAAUGUCUGUCAUGGUCGUGAUGUGUGAGUUGGUGAAAUGUCAGCUGUGUCCUGAAGAUGACGGUGAGCAUGGAGAAACCAAUGGCAGCAGCCAGUCCCAGGUCAGGGUUGAAUAGCAAGG